rnacentral:lncRNA from 1 species
UCUGCAGCUUUGCUUCGGUGCGUCAAUCGCUUCUUCCGGCGAGUUUCCGGCGAACUUCCGUCGAUCAUCCGAUGAACCCUCGGUGAUGCUCCUGCGGACUUCCGGCAAACUCCUGGACUUUGCGAUGAUCCACUUGGCGAGUUCCGACGAGCUUCGCUUGGCAAGCUUCUGGACUUCUCGGAUCUGUUCUCGCAGAACCUCCGACGACCGUCCGAACUUCCAUCGAACUCUCGAACUCCCAACGUGAUCAUGAACUUGACUCCGGCGCAACUCCUGCUGCUUGUCUAACUUUCAUCAUAGUUAAUCCUGCAC